rnacentral:lncRNA from 1 species
CUUUUCUUCUGUUUUGUGGUUUGCAAGUGUUAUUUAUUUACUUCAUCUUACAUUUGGCUUCAGGUAUAUCUUUGCUACUCUCAAGGUAAAAUCCCCUUCUUUAGAUUCAUAAUCAACCGGUUCUGUUAUCAUUUGCAUUCUACCAUGGUUGCUGCAAUAGUAACCUCAUUCUAUUAUUACAGUCAUGAAGUGUAACAACCCGACUUUAAUUAAAAUAAGUAAUAUUAAUUAGAAAUGGUGAUUGAAGUUACUCGAAGAAUUAUUGCUCAAAGUAUGAGAUAGUUCAAAGGCAUAAACAUGUUUUAGUAAUAAGUUGGAGGGUAAAGUGGACAAGUAUCAUUACUAGUAAGACUAGUAUUACAGGUAUGUAUUGGGAGGAAGCAAACAUCAGUAUAGUGAAGACCCAUUCCCUUCUUUCUUCUCUGUCCGUUCAUUCCCUUUCUUAACUCCACCCCNNNNNNNNNNNNNCAGUUUCAUGUGCUCUCAUGGCCAAAGGGUUGCAUGUGUUGGAAACAAUCUUAAUCUGCUGGUUUUGAGUAUUAAAAGCUAAGGUAAAAUUAGUAAUUUCAAUUCCACUCUCUUUCCCUCUUUUUAUGAACCCUAAACUCACCCUUAAAGCCUUCACUCAUUUGGGGUCAAUUGCAUGUACACAUACUCUGUAAAUUGGGGUAAUUGAAAGUGCUAGGGAACUGAUAUUGAAAUGGAGAAAAGAAUUGAAGGUCGGAGCUUGGAAGGACUGUUGAUGGAACAAGAAAACAAGAGGAAUUGCUUAAGUUGUGUAAAAUCCGUAUUUGGGACAGGGCUCCACUCAAACGGUAAUAAAUCUCUCUCUGUAACUCUGAACUUAGUGUGGUUUGUUUCUAUGGAUAGAUAACGAAAUUAUCUUCGUCUGGGUGUUGAUUUGGUGGAAUUCAGAGUUAUAUUGAGCUCUAGGCAUGAUUUCGAAGUGGAGGGUCUGAAGCUGAGUUUGUGCAGGAAUAUGGACUGUUCGNNNNNNN